rnacentral:lncRNA from 1 species
CAGGUGCUUCUUCUGCAAGGAUGGGAUGGUGCUCUGUGAGCAGGCGUUUGAAGCUUUCUGGCUUGGUGAGGUGUUACGAAUAUGCACCUGGCAAGCUGUUCUGCAGAUUUAUCACAUGUACUUCAAAUGGGCUGAGGAACAAAAUGAAGACAUUUUUCCUUAAAUGCCUGACUGUCCUUGAAGCCUGGGGCUUUGCAGCAGACAGCCCUGAGUGGAAAUGGAUGAGGAGUUUUUCCUCUGCUCUGGCUUUCAGCAAACUUCCAUUUUCUUGCCCUUCAGGUACUAUCUGCACAGCAGGAAUUUCAAAUGAACAGUGUCACAGCCAAACAGCUUCUUUUGUGACUCAAAACCUUCUGUGAAAACAAUAUUUUAUAGGCAAAGUCCAUACACAGGGACUGGAAACAAGAAUAAAUAAAUUCACAAUGCAUGAAAAAAGGGGUUUGUGGACAGGAAUGAAUGAUGAAGAGCUGUAAUCCUGUUAAUCCAUCCAAUAGCUGCAUUGCUUGUUAAAAAGACAGGACAUAAAUCACUGCUAGUGAUGGAAGCAGGAAACAAAAGUGCUUCUCUCUCCUUUCC